AAUAACUAGAAGUGAAAAUUCAAAAAUACCUUUUCUAUGGUUAUAAUUAAAAGAAUAAUGUAAAAAUGCCAAUAUACUGUUCAAUAUUACUGCUCAAGAGGAAAAGCCUUAUAUAGCAAAAAUAAACUUGACCAUUGUUGAAAUCACCCGAUUCAAUUGUGGGUUGAAAACCACUAUAUACUCGCAUGGUCAAAAUGAUCCCUGAUUUAGUAACUAGUUCCAUAACAUUUUUCUGAGUGUGGUAUUAGAGCGUCUGGCGAAGCGAGAAAAAUCUGGCAACCUGGCAACGCUGCUUGCCGAUGUCAAAAUUUUACCUGGAGUGACAGAAACAAAAACUGUAAACAACACGUAUAUUUUGUAUUGAUUGUUCAAAAAACGACGAAGAACGAUCACGAUCCAUCUUGCUCUAGAGCAACACGGCUUUGGUAGCUGCAGCUACAGUUCCCACAGAAAAAUGAAAUCCGACCAGAUACAGGAUGUGAUGCCAAACGAGGAGAACCAAUCCAGCAGCUAUAUCACCGUAACGAAUGAUCUUCCAAAACAACACAAAUGUCAGAUUUGCGAUAAAACAUUCGCCAAGAAGAGUGCUCUCUACUCUCACUUCUUAUUGCAUGACAACAAGCGGCCAUUCAGCUGUGAUAUUUGUGGGAAAAGCUUUGCUUUGACGAGUCACCUAAGGAGGCAUAUGACCGCACAUACGAAGAACAACACGCUCACGUGUGAUGUAUGUGGCAGAGAAUUUUGUGACAAUACAUCAUUGAAUUUCCACAAAAAUAUUCAUACUGGUGAGCGACCGUACAAAUGCACUGUAUGCGAAAAAGGUUUCUACGCUAAAACGAAUUUUACCCAACACAUGCGUUCUCAUGCAGGCGAGUCUUUCGAAUGCGCUGUAUGUGGGAAAAGUUUUGUCACUAAUGUUAAACUAACCAAACACAUGGUUACACACACGGGCGAUUUUCAUUUCAAAUGUGAUGUGUGCGGAAGAGGGUUCAGCAGCACAACGCGUUUAAGAGAUCACAAAAACAUGCAUACGGGAGAUCGACCUUAUCAAUGCGCUAUAUGCGGAAAAAAAUUUGCCAAUAAAGAUAGCAUCAAACAACAUACAUCACUUCACACGGGUAUUCGGUAUAGGUGUGAAGUGUGUGGCAAAGAAUACUCUCUAAAGUCUAGAUUGACAUGGCACGAACGCGUUCAUAAGACUGAGCAUUCAAUUGAUUCCCUGUUGAUCGAAUCAACAGACCACGAAGGCGUUAUUCAAACCAAACAGGAAAAUGCAACAAACGAAUCAACAAAUCUCAACGGUAUGAUAAAUGAACAUUCACCAUCAAAUAGCAACUGCAAUGCGCUUGAUUUAGAGCAAAAACCGUUCAAGUCUGGUAGCAAUAAAAUCAAUACAUCUGAAAUUAAAUUCGACCAGGUACGGGGUGUUAUUCAAACGAAAGAGGACGAUUCUCCAAAUCAGCACAAAUGCUUGAUUUGUAAACAACAUUUCGCCGACAAGAGCGAUCUUCUGAAGCACCUUCCAUCUUGCAACAUACGCGAAAGAAAAAGAAACUUUCCGAAGCAGAGUUAUCGUCCGCACAAAUGCACUAUAUGUCGCAAAAAAUUUGCUACAAAGGUUGAACUGGACAAACACAUGUCAGUACACAAGGGUGAUUAUACGUAUAAGUGUGAUGUGUGUGGCAAAGGAUUCAAGCAAAAAUCACGUUUCAUAGACCACAAAAACAUUCAUACAGGAGAGCGGCCUUAUCAAUGCGGUGUAUGCGGAAAAGACUACGCCACCAAACGUGUCCUAAACAUUCACAUAACACUUCACGCAGGUGAUCGGCAUCAAUGUGAAGAGUGCGGCAAAGAAUACGCUAAUAAAUUCGUCUUGAAAUUGCACAAACGCGUUCAUACAACUACGAGUUAGUUAGUUAUAAUUGUUUUUUAACACCGGUUUUUAACCUUCAUGGUCUAUUUCCGAUGCAAUGAGGACAUCAUCUAAAUAGCAGUUUACACCUUCUAGUCCGUGUAACACCUUGUCCAUAAUUUGCUGAAAAAUUGCCGCAGAGCUUGAUGCCCCUUGCGGAAGUCGAUUGUAGAUGAAUAACCCUUUUACUGUGUUGAUAACCGUGUACUUUUUGGAGCGCUCAGAUAAAGGAACUUGUGUAUAUGCUCCUGCUAGGUCCAGGCAACAAAAUAUUUUGCAGCCCG